rnacentral:rRNA from 1 species
ACGAACGCUGGCGGCACGCUUAACACAUGCAAGUCGAACGAGAGAAGAGGAGCUUGCUUUUCUGAUCUAGUGGCGGACGGGUGAGUAACACGUGAGCAAUCUGCCUUUCAGAGGGGGAUACCGAUUGGAAACGAUCGUUAAUACCGCAUAACAUAAUUGAACCGCAUGAUUUGAUUAUCAAAGAUUUAUCGCUGAAAGAUGAGCUCGCGUCUGAUUAGCUAGUUGGUAAGGUAACGGCUUACCAAGGCGACGAUCAGUAGCCGGACUGAGAGGUUGAUCGGCCACAUUGGGACUGAGACACGGCCCAGACUCCUACGGGAGGCAGCAGUGGGGAAUAUUGCACAAUGGAGGAAACUCUGAUGCAGCGAUGCCGCGUGAGGGAAGAAGGUUUUAGGAUUGUAAACCUCUGUCUUCAGGGACGAAAAAAGACGGUACCUGAGGAGGAAGCUCCGGCUAACUACGUGCCAGCAGCCGCGGUAAUACGUAGGGAGCGAGCGUUGUCCGGAAUUACUGGGUGUAAAGGGAACGUAGGCGGGAUCGCAAGUCAGAUGUGAAAACUAUGGGCUUAACCCAUAAACUGCAUUUGAAACUGUGGUUCUUGAGUGAAGUAGAGGUAAGCGGAAUUCCUAGUGUAGCGGUGAAAUGCGUAGAUAUUAGGAGGAACAUCAGUGGCGAAGGCGGCUUACUGGGCUUUAACUGACGCUGAGGCUCGAAAGCGUGGGGAGCAAACAGGAUUAGAUACCCUGGUAGUCCACGCCGUAAACGAUGAUUACUAGGUGUGGGGGGGCUGACCCCUUCCGUGCCGCAGCAAACGCAAUAAGUAAUCCACCUGGGGAGUACGACCGCAAGGUUGAAACUCAAAGGAAUUGACGGGGGCCCGCACAAGCAGUGGAGUAUGUGGAUUAAUUCGAAGCAACGCGAAGAACCUUACCAGGUCUUGACAUCGUAUGCAUAGCUCAGAGAUGAGUGAAAUCUCUUCGGAGACAUAUAGACAGGUGGUGCAUGGUUGUCGUCAGCUCGUGUCGUGAGAUGUUGGGUUAAGUCCCGCAACGAGCGCAACCCUUACUGUUAGUUGCUACGCAAGAGCACUCUAGCAGGACUGCCGUUGACAAAACGGAGGAAGGUGGGGAUGACGUCAAAUCAUCAUGCCCCUUAUGACCUGGGCCUCACACGUACUACAAUGGCUGUCAACAGAGGGAAGCAAAGCCGCGAGGUGGAGCAAACCCCUAAAAGCAGUCUUAGUUCGGAUUGUAGGCUGCAACCCGCCUACAUGAAGUCGGAAUUGCUAGUAAUCGCAGAUCAGCAUGCUGCGGUGAAUACGUUCCCGGGCCUUGUACACACCGCCCGUCACGCCAUGGGAGUCGGUAACACCCGAAGCCUGUAGUCUAACCGCAAGGAGGACGCAGUCGAAGGUGGGAUUGAUGACUGGGGUG